rnacentral:rRNA from 1 species
AUGGAAUUGGUCGAGCUACGCACACCAUUUUUGGCCGAGACAAUGUUUGAUAAGCUUGGGCUCCCAAGGCCAGUUUACCAUGUGCGUAUGCUCGAGCAAGGUGGAUAUAGGGCACAGAUUGAGUUUCACCGUACCAAAGAGCAUUAUGAUGCUUCGGCGCGCCGGACUAAAUUGUUGAGCCAUAUAUGUGUCAGUGGAGAGGCAGCAAUGGAUCAGGCAGCCGAUCAAGCAAUUGCAUACAUGGAAAACAAUGAAAACAAGGUUCUUGCUGAUUAUAACUACUAUCGGCUGCAACAAGAAAAACAAUCUUGUGCAAGACUUUCAGACAAGCUGUCAGAGAAAACAGAAAAAAUCAACCAGCGCAACCAGACAAUCAAACAGAUGACUACAGAGGCGUCCGAUUAUCUGGAAGAAGUGCAUGCUGCAUCAGGCAAGAUCCAUGGUCUCGCUGUCACUGCCUUAGACCCUGCUGCCAGCCUUUCUCUUUCCACUCUAAAACAGGCUAUUUUAGAGAUUCAAGAUUCACUCAUUGCUCUCUAG